UACAUGGGGUGCAAACGUUGCUCGGAAUUAUUGGGCGUAAAGCGCGCGUAGGCGGUUACUCAAGGCGGAUGUGAAAGCCCUCGGCUUAACUGAGGAAGUGCACCCGAAACUGAGUAGCUAGAGUACUAAAGAGGGUCGCGGAAUUCCCGGUGUAGAGGUGAAAUUCGUAGAUAUCGGGAGGAACACCGGUGGCGAAGGCGGCGACCUGGGUAGAUACUGACGCUGAGGUGCGAAAGCGUGGGGAGCAAACAGG
rnacentral:rRNA from 1 species